rnacentral:lncRNA from 1 species
CUCCCUUCUUUGCUCUAUUCCAUUUGAUGUUCUCCCCUCUCUCCUCUCUCUAUUCACUCUCCCAAUUGAUCUUUCUCCUCAAUGCCUUUCGAUCUCUUUCUCUCUCCCUAUUUCUCUCCUCUCUCCCUCCCAAUCUCUCCCUUUCUCUUCUCUUCCUCCCAAUCUCUCUCCAUCCUCUCUCCCUCUCUCCCCCACACACACACUGCCUCUCUCGUGAUUUUCUCUCUUCAUCCCAAUUUUUCUCUUUUAGGAAAUAUUUGAUUGGGGAGAG